AUUCAACUCAUCUAUCAAUGGUUGUAAGUAUAUGUCAAUGUCAUUCCCAGGUGCAGUUGGACCAGGAAAAAGUAGUGACAACAUGAAGAAUGUCCGUUUCAUACACAUCCAAGGUGGUAAGUUACAUGGAAUAAGAACUACAGGCCACAUGCUGUAUGAAAUUGACAUAUUCCCAAAAGGAUUGAACCCAUCACUUGCUAAACCGAGCCUAAAAUUUCGAGGUUCUAGUGCAAAUGAAGGGUGUACAUUAUCGAAGUUUUUCCAAGCCAAAGAGUCCACUGGAUGCCUCAUCAUCUCACCUUGCAUGCGACCAUCAACAUGUC
rnacentral:lncRNA from 1 species